CUCUUGUAAAUGCUCAACGAUUCAUUAAAUGAAACGCUCAUGUACUUAGCAUUUCUCGGUUCUAGUUUUUGGUUUAUGGCUGAGUUGAAUAACAACCGAGCGAUUUUAUAUACUUACUUAAGUACGUACGUUUUCAUUUAACUAGUUUAUUAUAGGUAACCAUUCCACAAUUACACACUACACUUCCACACGUGGGAAUUCUCAGAAAAUAGUGUACCCAAUUAGCGCGAGUUGUUAAAAAACGAUAAUUACUGUAAAUUUUGUGACGACAAUUAAACUUCAAUUUCAAUAAAGACUUGGUUUUGGUGUAUAUUUCAUAAACUAUAUAGUAGAUACCCCUAUAAUGGAACAGGAACCGGUAAUGGGACAUAAAACCACAUUUUUUUUAAAAUAAGUAACUAAAACUAGUUUAUAAGUACUGGCAACCUUUUACCAUAAACAAGCAAGAGUCAUAGAGCAUCUUAAGUUUGAUGUUUCAUUAAAUUUGCUUUUUUCUUAAGAAAUUGUCGCCAAGCCAAAAUGAAAAAAUAAUUAGUCAGAAUUCUUAACAACUCCGCUAAAAGAGGGUUCGCUCAGCUACCAAAGUUUAAAAUGAUUAUAGACAUUAUAGUACUUCUUAAGUCCAUAAAAACAUCUCAGUGGCACGAACCAGGAUUCGCACCUACAUGCUCCGGGUUGAAAGAGAUUCCAUAAAGGAGGUUCUGAAAGCGCGGACCGCGGCGUCCUGGCGGGCCGCGUAGGAGCCGCCAAUCCCCAGGGCAGGCGCCACGGUGUCAUCCAUGAACCGGUACGAGUCUAGCCCAA